rnacentral:sRNA from 1 species
GCGGUUGCCGGCCACUAGCAGCUUGCGCACGUCCAGCGGGAAGGGAUCGGGCACGCUAGGAAGCCCGCGAUCGCGACAGUCCACCGUGUGGGGGUGGAGACCGCGGAGGGAGCCCAGCGCGACCCUACUCGGGCGGGGAAUUGGGACCUGUCGCACAGACCUGGCCAGCGGUGCUCAAGACUAAGUUCAGUGACGGAUCCCUGGAGCGAUUUCCAUGGGGCGUGUCUGGGGCAUGCGCCCGGAGCGCCACCCUCGCCUUUGCCAAAGGGGCCCAGGUCACUCUAGCUCCAAGUCUGGGACAAAGCCCGAAGGCUGUCAAGUCCUCGCCUGGGGCUGCGAAGCUGAGAAUUGGCUAGACUCCAGGAUAGCUGGGCUUCCCUCCGACCCCCUCCUUCCUCCCACCUGCUUUUGUCCCACCUCCUGCAGGAGGAGAGUGUGAGCCUGGCGGGUGGCUGCCAAGGUCCGGCUGUGACUGAAAGGAUAGCCAGGGCCAGGACCAGUCAGCGUUUUCCACGCUGGUCCUGAGCUUGGAGAUAGAACUGAUUAUCCUCCCAGCACGGAUCUUCUGUGGCUCUGAGCAAAGCCAAAGCAAGAGGCACUGGGGCAGUUUGGAGGAGAGUGACCUGGAACCGGGGUCCCUAGUGGCCCCUGACCUCCUGUCGAAUCAUCUGUGAAAAGGCAUGGGUAGAGACGUCUCUCCACUCCCUUCGAGGACUGAGGAAGGCCAGAAACAGUGUUUGGGAGUUACCAAGUCUUCUUUCCCCAUCAACCCUUCAUUUUGAUGGCCCAGGAAAGUAAUCUGGUCAGAGAGAGAUGCCAACGCUUAGAGCCCAGCUCCACAGAGGUGAGGUUGGUCUUAGAGGGUGAUAGAAUUCCUUCCUUGCUGUUCCUCAAGUCAACGCCCUGUUCUACUCCCAACCCCUGAAUGUUUUUCUUUUGGAAAAGCCCCUAUGGUGCUACAGGGAAAUUGCCCUGCAGGUGGCUAUUUUAAUCCCAACACCCUGGAACGGAAAAGCUCAGCCCCUGGCCCAAAAUAACCCACAGAACAGCUGUCGGUUACUGGCCCCCACUGACCCUGCCCCAGCCCCUGGCACUGCUGGGGAUUGGUGGAGCCAGCUAUUCCGAAGUCUCAGAGCUAAGUCUGGGUAUUUUUCCCAGUUUGGAAGGGAGUUGGCUGACCUCUUUUUCCAGUUUGAAAGCCAGUUGGUGCCUCUGAGCCAGGGAUCGGGCAGUUGAGCCUUUGGGGCAGAGCCAAAGGCCCCAGAACUUUCAUGAGUUCCAGGAGGGGCUGGGUGUCAGGCCCCCUCAAUCACUCCUCCCUUGCACACACCCUGGCUACCAAGCUAGACCUGCAGCCCCUGUCUUGCACCCACCCCUCUCCAUAAUGUCUUGCAGUUCCCGGUUUCAGGGGCUCUGCCUUCUGAAGAGGGUGGAAUGGAUCGGGGUGGGUGAAGGUAUCUUAGCCACAUUGAUGCUGUUAAUGGUGCAAGAAGAGCAUGUGCCACCACCCUAAACUCUGCAAAAGCACCCUGAAAAGAGAUCUCUUGCUCUCUUUCAGCCUCGGGUUCUGUUCUGGGCUGAGCAAUACCAUCGCUCCUGACGGAGCUGUAGGUCUAAGUGUACACAGGCGUCUUCCUGUCAAGGGGUCUGGCUAACUGCGGCUCUGCACUGUGAGUCAGAUCCCAGUCCUUCCCCUGGUGUCUGGACCUGAUCCUGCCGCUGCCUACAGAGCCAUAGGGGGGUUGCCUCCAUCUUUUUGGAGAUAGCCCAGACCUUGUCUGUUAAAAUUCAGCCUUGUGAGAGGUGGGCUUUCACCUCAGAAGAGGAUACCCAGAGUAAACAUGGCACUCACUCACGGGUGGCUUUAUUCAGCAGCAACAGUCCCCUUUUAUCUAGAAUGUGCACAGUGUUUAGCCAAUGAUAACUCACAAAACAGGGCCAUGCUCGAUGGCAAAAUAAUGCAAGGGGACUCCGGGGACAAAACAGCUGAGAGAUGCCUCUCCUUGGCUGUAACUCUCUUGUCCUGAAAUUAAGAGGAAAUGUUUCCUCUGCCCUUGCACAGACAGUGUGAGGGCAUGAGGGAAAUUAUUUGUGUGGAAACGUGACUUGGAAAAUGUUGUAGAAACCACGCGUGGCUUCUAUGGAGUGGCCACAAAUCUCCCUGUCGGGAACUCCUUGCUUUUUGCUUUGAGUGUCUCCCAAAGUCCCCUGGAUCCUAAUCUGACUUGUUUUCUUUAUUAAUUAACAUCAGCAGGACAUGAGCAGGUUGAGGCUCAGGAGAAUCAGGAGGCACCCCCAUGCCAUAGGACUCUCAUUCCUUGGGAAAAUAAAAGCUUUGCCAUCUCUGAUAUUUCUUCCUCUUGCAAGAAACACAAAACCAUGACCUGAGCAAGGUCAUCCGUGAGUCAGGGAUAAGAGCUGGGAAUAGAAUGUGGGCAUUGUGGGUCCCCACUUGGCCACUCACCCACUCUUCCCGGACCCACGUGGGACAAACCUCUUAGGGAGAGGACAAAAUGCAAAUAAAGAGGCCUGAAGAAGCUU